GAUGAAGAACGUAGCGAAAUGCGAUAAGUAAUGCGAAUUGCAGAAUUCCGUGUGUCAUCGAAUCUUUGAACGCACAUUGCGCCCUUUGGCAUUCCGAAGGGCAUGCCUGUUCGAGCGUCAUUUAUCAACCCUCAAGCCCGGCUUGCGGUUGGGUCCCGCCGUGGGCGACCACGGCGGACCCGAAAGGUAAUGGCGGUGCCCGUGGGGCCCUGGACGCAGCGAGCUUCUCGGCACGCGUCCCGGCGGUCCCCGGCGCCGUCUCCACCAAUCCACCACGCAGAUUGACCUCGGAUCAGGUAGGGAUACCCGCUGAACUUAAGCAUAUCAAUAAGCGGAGGA
rnacentral:misc_RNA from 1 species